UUUCGGAGCUGGUCCGCCGACGAUCGCACGCAGUCCGAGAGCGUCUCUGCAGUGGGCCGGUCCUGAAGGAUGCGCGCCCUGGACGCGCCUGCGAGCCCGCGGCUCUUGGCCUCGGACUCCGGGUCCCCCGCGGCCCCAGACGCGGCUGGGCCGGCUCGCAGGAGCGCGGUGGAGAGGCUGGCGGCCGACCGCGCCAAGUACGUGCGCGGCCCGCCCGGGGCCGGAUCAGGCCCGGCUGGCGGGGGCAGCAGUCCCGAGGCGACCGGAGGGCAGGCGCGCGUCCCCGGGCCCGGGGUGCGCAGGGCUAUAGCGCGGAAGCCGCUAAGGCCGGACUCGCUGGUCAUCUACCGUCAGAAGUGCGAGUUCGCCCGAGCGUCAGGAGCCGACAGCCCCAGGGCAAGCCUGGUGAAGAAGCUCUUCCAGGGGCCGAGCAAGGACAAGGCGCCCGAACCUCCUGGCGCCGCCCGGGUGGGAGCGGAGUUGGGGAUCAGGGCCCAGGGGGCCGCCCGGGCCGAGCCUGGCCCCUCCGCGCCUCCCGCGCCCGCGCGGUCCGUCGGGACGACCCCCAGGGUAUCGGCUGCGCCCGGCGGCGCAGAGCUGCUGGGGGUGAGGCGCCUGGGGCUACAGCGCUCUCAGUCCGACCUCAGCUCGCGCUACUCCGCGUCCUUGGCCGAAUCGGACACUUUCUUCCAGUACUGCGGCCUGGAACCCGACGUGGUGGAGGCGCUCGGGCGGGAGAACUUCUCGGCCGGGUCGGACCGCGGCGCCCUCAAGGUCCGCAGCGUGAGCGUGGCCACCUCCGACAGCGGCUUCUCCCGGCGCAGCGGGGAAGACGAGGGGCUGCAGGAGGAGGAGCUGACGGAGCAGGUGCCCAGCACCACCUCGGUGGUCGAGAGGAACGCGCGCAUCAUCAAGUGGCUAUACACCUGUAAGAAGGCCAAGGAGACGCCCGGCCAGGGGCUGCAGGGCCCGGCGUGACAGCCCGCCCCAGGAGACCCGGGCCGAGGUGUGCGUCCGGGGCCGGGAGGGGUGUCUGUGAGGUCCUGGGGAGGGGCCGAGCUGGGGGACCCUGCCUUCUAGAGAGAUAGAGCCGCAGGGGCGCCUGCGUCAGCGGACUGCCAGACCCGGCCUGUGCCGGUUCUCUCGAGUGUGCGGCUUCUGGCUGCCAGCAAAGUUAACUCUGUACACGAAGUGCAUCCCAGUUGGCUUAUUACUGUGAAAAGAGGAGAAAUUGGCAUUCUAAACGCUCCGUCAGAAAGUGCUUUUACAUCUCUGCUGUUUCCCUGCGCUGAAAUAGCCUGAGGGCCCUGCCUGGGUCCAGAGCUUUGAUGCCCGCUGACCGGCCCGCGUGGGCCCUGGGGGGACUGCGAUCUCCCCUCCCCAGAAAGGAAGGCUGUGCACUUCCUGGAGGCCUUCACCGAACCGAGAGGGAGGAGGGCUUCUCUACAGGAUCUUCUCAGCUGUUUGACACUCAUUUAGCUGAAGCAAACCUUCUGGACGAUGGGGACUCCUUGCAGUAUGUCUGGAUGACUGGGACCCGAGGCCCAUCUUCACUGCCAGGUUUUAUCUAGAGUACCCAAGUAUCCAUAUAAUUGCUCUUUUCCCAGGAAUAAAACACACCAUUAAAGAAGCUUGUCAUUUCAGAAGGUUUGAAAUGCUGUGGAGAAGGUGGGAACACAGAACUUGGAAAUUAGCUGAGUUUUAACUGUUAUGACACAGCUGAAGCUCUGGAAAAUAUUUUCUUGUGUUAGGUGGAUCUAUUUUUGCUUCUAGAGGGCAGCAGAAGAAGGAAAAGCUGCUUGGAAAUAUUUUCAAGGGCAUCUUUUUGAGUGGCUUGCUGACAAAUAGGUACCAUGAUACAUUUUAAUAAUAAUUAAUUUUGAAAAGAAAAAAGGCAAAAAGCAUGAAAUUCAAACACAAAUGCCAUGGUAUUUACUGCUUUCAAUCAUACUGGACAGAUUGGCACUAUUUAAAUCAAAGUUCUGUGAUCAUAAGACGAUGUAUUCUACACAAAUACUGUGGUUAACAAAGAGCAAACACAUGGUCACACUUGGACAUUCACACAUAGACCUCCCUUUCUAAGUAUCGCCGCACCAUAAACUGCAGUGAAUUCCCAGCUGUGCAGUUGAUCAUCUUGUGAAGUGAAUCAGAAGGCACUUUUAAAACCACUUGAGAGCUGCAGGAUCACUAUGAAUGCCACUCCUGUUGGGCUGUAGACACGCAGUGGUAACAUAAAAAGAUAAAGAGUUGAAAUACUGCUAGGAAACCUUUUUGUGUACCUGGGCAGUUUCUUGAGAGUUGGCAGAAGAAUACUGAAGCUUCCUUCCUUCAAAUCUGUAUCAGUGGUCCUCUUUUGCAGCACUGUGUCGAAUAUGCCUCCAUGGUUCUCUUGUCCCCAACUUCCGAAAAGGAUAAAAAAGACCUCUAUUUAGGCAGAACAUGGACUCAUGACAUGUGAAAUGCCCUGCAUUUUGGUCUAAUUCACACCCUCAUCUAUCAUGCAAUCAUUCCAAAUUUGGCAACAGUUCACUCUCUCUGAAUAGGAUGUUUGAAACAAGGGGCAGUCCCUUGGAUGGCUGGGAGACUGUCGGAUGGGAGUGUUGUUGGUAAGGAGUUACUGUGACCCUAAAUCUGUCCCAGCUUGUGACACUCAGAGUAAAUAAAUUUCAAGUUCAGAACCUUCUGAGAGAGAUUUUGUACCUGUGAAAACAAUCCAAAGACCAUCUGUCAUCCAGUCAAAGCUCACAGUGUUUUAUCAAAAUAUAUCUAAGAACAUAAUUAUUAGAACAGGGAGGGAAGAGAAAUAGGUUUCUCAAAAGUAAAAUGUUUUAUAAACCAAUUUUGAUAUAUUCAUGUAUUUGUUUAAUACUGUAUUCUAUUUUUGUAACUUGCUGUGAGAAUAGGUCUUAGAGUUAAAUAUUUAUUUUUACAGAAGUAUUGGUCUUCAAAUAGUUCUCCUGCAUUUCAUAUGGUCUUGGUUUCUAUCAGUAUAAUUUAAGUCAUUCUGCCCUUGUUACCUUUUUGUAUGCUGUUUAACUGAAGUUUCCGUUUGACUGUCAGCCGCACGCUUGGCACUCUGCACUGUGCUCAGUACUGCAGGGACUUGUUUGUCAAUAAGUCAUGGUUGUACAUUUGGAGAGGGUACUUCUUCAAUGUAGACUCUAUAAAGACAAAGAUUCUCUGCUCUAAGAAAAUUUUCCCUUUUUUUUUUAUGCUGCUAUUUUGGUAUUCACUAUUCACUGGAUUAUACUUAAUUUAAAAGAUAAUGUCAAAGAUGAGAAUUUUCUUUAAAGGAUCUUUUUGUAUUUGGAGUUUCCCUAUUUGCAGAUUCUAUUAAUUUUUUAUGUGAAUGCUUUAAGCGAAAUUGUUAUGUGCCUUUCUACUGUCAGAAUAGGAUAAAGUGUAUCCUAGGUCAGAUUUAUCUGAGAUCAAAAUGAUGUGAACUCUGCCAUUCAUGUGGGCUUCCCUGGUGGCUCAGCAGUAAAGAAUUUGCCUGCAGUGCAGGAGAUGCAGGAGACGCGGGUUCGAUCCCUGGGUCCUGGAGAUCCCCUGGAGGAAGGCAUGGCAACCCACUCCAGUACUCUUGGCUAGAGAAUCCCAUGAACAGAGAAGCCUGUCAGGCUGCAGGCCAUAGGGUCACACAGAGUUGGACAUGACUGAAGUGACUAAGCAGCAGAAGCAGCUACCAACCACCCGUGUAAUAGAUGAAAAGCAGAAAAAUAAAUUGGUUGCUGUUUAAAAGCACUGAGAUGUUCCAGAAGCAUUUGCGUAUCAAUGACAGUGACUGUAGGAAGUAAAUGUCAGGAGGGUGUGUGAGGCAGGAACAGGGUGUCCCCAGACCCCAGCAGGACCAGGUUAACACUCCCUCUUGUCUGUCUGGAUUCAGGCCUCAGCUCAGGGCCUGAGUGUGUGGCUGGAGGCAGGAAAUCCUUUCCUAACUCUGAAUUGCUGAGUGACUCUGAGAAAAUCAGAAUUUGUAGCUCAGUCUGAAUAAAAAAGUUUAUAACUGCUUUUCACAGGGAUGAACAAUAGUUAUUGCUGCAAAAUAGUUUCAUUUGUUCAGGAAAGAAUAGCCUAUUAGGUAACAUGAUUAAGUACAAUGGAAAGGAAAAGUUAUUGAAAAAUUAUUGAUAAAACCUUGGAAACAGCUUGACAGUAUCUAGUUCUUUAAUAUAUGGAUACAGAUCACCAGUGCCUCAGACUUAAAGGUAGUUAUGUUACUGAAAGGUAGUUCUAUAACUGAAGUUUCCUCAUUAUGCAUAUAGUUUUUAAACUGCUGGUCACUGACACUGGAAUAAAAAGAAGUCUUUAUCAAGCAUUGCCCUUUUCAGUGGGUUAAAGGGCAGUGCUAUAGUUAUUGUUGGUGAUGUCAUGAAAUAUCAGGCCCAGACAGUUAUGGCAGUCUAAAUAGAGUUCUUUUUUCACACACUACUUGCAACAUGAGUGCAAUAUUGUAUAUUCUGAAUCAAAGAAAUAAAUUAUUUUUUGUUAUUUUUAAUAUAGCUUUGUGAAUUUGUACAAUAUGAAAAAAUUGAAGCAAGGGUAUGGUUAUUGUAACUACUCAUAUCUUUUACUUUCUCCUUUCCUCCUAAAUAUUGGAGCAGAUUAUCAGUCACAAUGAAGAGUGCAUUCUAAAGCCUGGACUAGCAGAAUCAUGUGCCUGGAGAUGGGAUGCAAUAAAUCAGUUUGAGCAUCGGUUUUCUUUGUCUCAUCUGUCUUUUGCUUAUUUUUUUUCCUCAUGGCUUAUUAAUAUUAUCGUUGUAAAAUGAGUUCAAAGGUAAAAUGAGAGUAUAGUUUGUAACCUUUCCUGUUAGUUAGCUCAUUGGUGAAGGCAGACUCCAUGCACAUCAGCUUUGCUGCCUGUAUCUGCUCAAAUAGGAGAUGGAGACGUGGGCCUCAGCCAGUGUCUAAGUCACUGUUCUCACUGAGCCCGGCUGGCUGCUUUUUCAGUCCUACAGUGGCUUACACAA